GCUGGAUAUAUUAUGCAAUGAAGAGAUUCUUGGCAAGGAUCAUACACUCAAGUUUGUAGUUGUUACUAGAUGGCGAUUUAAGAAAGCACCUCUACUUCUACAUUACAGACCCAAAAUGGACUUGCUGUAAGAAAAUUUUAUUGUCCUGGACACAGUUUUUUGCAGAGACGAUCAUCUGGCACCUUAGUGCAGCACUGUGAUGCAAAGCAGCAGAAUCACUUUGGAAGACUGUAGUGUUUUCAUAGCAGAGUAUCCUUCUGAAUAUUUCUUCUAGAACAUGCUGCCCAGAUUUUUGGACAAAAACAUUUAUACUUUUUUUUUGUACAAAUUGAAUAAAUUACAACUCAACAAGAUUCUAUGAGUGCUAAGUUUACAGUGAAAACACUUCACAGUUCCAUGGAGCUCAGCCUGAUUCCUCUCUUUGUAGUUACACAA